ACAAUGGGCGAAAGCCUGAUCCAGCAAUGCCGCGUGAGUGAUGAAGGCCUUAGGGUUGUAAAGCUCUUUUACCAGGGAUGAUAAUGACAGUACCUGGAGAAUAAGCUCCGGCUAACUCCGUGCCAGCAGCCGCGGUAAUACGGAGGGAGCUAGCGUUGUUCGGAAUUACUGGGCGUAAAGCGUGCGUAGGCGGCUAUUCAAGUCAGAGGUGAAAGCCUGGAGCUCAACUCCAGAACUGCCUUUGAAACUAGAUAGCUAGAAUCUUGGAGAGGUGAGUGGAAUUCCGAGUGUAGAGGUGAAAUUCGUAGAUAUUCGGAAGAACACCAGUGGCGAAGGCGACUCACUGGACAAGUAUUGACGCUGAGGUACGAAAGCGUGGGGAGCAAACAGGAUUAGAUACCCUGGUAGUCCACGCUGUAAACGAUGAUAACUAGCUGUCCGGGCUCUCAGAGCUUGGGUGGCGCAGCUAACGCAUUAAGUUAUCCGCCU
rnacentral:rRNA from 1 species